GAUAGGAGACAUCGGGAUAGAGGUUGGGAAGAGGGAGAGACAAUCAUCAUCUUGAUUGGCUCUCCAAUCAAGAGGAGGGGGGUGAUCUAGAACUACAGCUAGAAAAAUCAUCUUUAGAAGAUUGGUUGAGGUCCAUCUUCUGGGAGAAAAUUGUUAGAUUCUUAUGUUAGAAGGGACAAUUUCACAUCGUGCUAAAGUGUCCACAUGUCCAAACAAAUCAACACUAUCCAUAGCCCUAAGUGUACCAUCCUU
rnacentral:lncRNA from 1 species